rnacentral:rRNA from 1 species
GCGGCGGACGGGUGAGUAAUGCAUAGGAAUCUGCCCGGUAGUGGGGGAUAACCUGGGGAAACCCAGGCUAAUACCGCAUACGNCCUACGGGNGAAAGCAGGGGCUCUUCGGACCUUGCGCUAUCGGAUGAGCCUAUGUCGGAUUAGCUGGUUGGUGAGGUAAUGGCUCACCAAGGCGACGAUCCGUAGCUGGUCUGAGAGGAUGAUCAGCCACAUCGGGACUGAGACACGGCCCGAACUCCUACGGGAGGCAGCAGUGGGGAAUAUUGGACAAUGGGCGCAAGCCUGAUCCAGCCAUGCCGCGUGUGUGAAGAAGGCCCUCGGGUUGUAAAGCACUUUCAGUGGGGAAGAAAGCCUGNNGGNUAAUACCCGUCAGGAANGACAUCACCCACAGAAGAAGCACCGGCUAACUCCGUGCCAGCAGCCGCGGUAAUACGGAGGGUGCGAGCGUUAAUCGGAAUUACUGGGCGUAAAGCGCGCGUAGGUGGCUUGAUAAGCCGGUUGUGAAAGCCCCGGGCUCAACCUGGGAACGGCAUCCGGAACUGUCAGGCUAGAGUGCAGGAGAGGAAGGUAGAAUUCCCGGUGUAGCGGUGAAAUGCGUAGAGAUCGGGAGGAAUACCAGUGGCGAA